rnacentral:lncRNA from 1 species
UACCCAAACUUCAGCAACGGGAGAUCGCUUCCGUAUUUUACCUGAGGAGCUCGUUGCUUUCGAAUGAUUCGAUCCCUCAAUGAUUCUCAAGACGUCUCCGGAUCCGACCAUUCGGUAACUAGUGACGUCAAAAUCUCGGCAGCAAACGCACUCGACCGGACAUCAUGGCCAAGAAUACUGAAAACCAUCUCCUGUCAUCCUAAAGGUGCAAGGCCAAAUCCCCAUCUCUCGAUCGGA